UGAACGCUGGCGGCGUGCCUAAUACAUGCACGUCGAGCGAACAGACGAGGUGCUUGCUCCUCUUACGUUAGCGGCGGACAGGUGAGUAACACGUGGAUAACCUACCUAUCAUACUGGGAUAACUUCGGGAAACCGGAGCUAAUACCGGAUAAUAUAUUGACCCGCAUGGUUCACUAGUGAAAGACGGUUUUGCUGUCACUUAUAGAUGGAUUCGCGUCGUAUUAGCUAGUUGGUAAGGUAACGGCUUACCAAGGCAACGAUGCGUAGCCGACCUGAGAGGGUGAUCGGCCACACUGGAACUGAGACACGGUCCAGACUCCUACGGGAGGCAGCAGUAGGGAAUAUUCCGCAAUGGGCGAAAGCCUGACGGAGCAACGCCGCGUGAGUGAUGAAGGUCUUCGGAUCGUAAAACUCUGUUAUUAGGGAAGAACAAAUGUGUAAGUAACUAUGCACGUCUUGACGGUACCUAAUCAGAAAGCCACGGCUAACUACGUG
rnacentral:rRNA from 1 species